UGGGGAAUAUUGCACAAUGGGCGCAAGCCUGAUGCAGCCAUGCCGCGUGUGUGAAGAAGGCCUUCGGGUUGUAAAGCACUUUCAGCGAGGGGGAAGGGUUCAGUGUUAAUAGCACUGUUCAUUGACGUUACUCGCAGAAGAAGCACCGGCUAACUCCGUGCCAGCAGCCGCGGUAAUACGGAGGGUGCAAGCGUUAAUCGGAAUUACUGGGCGUAAAGCGCACGCAGGCGGUUUGUUAAGUCAGAUGUGAAAUCCCCGCGCUUAACGUGGGAACUGCAUUUGAAACUGGCAAGCUAGAGUCUUGUAGAGGGGGGUAGAAUUCCAGGUGUAGCGGUGAAAUGCGUAGAGAUCUGGAGGAAUACCGGUGGCGAAGGCGGCC
rnacentral:rRNA from 1 species